GAUGAACGCUGACAGAAUGCUUAACACAUGCAAGUCAUUGGCGAAGCUGCGCUUGCGCAGUCUAGCCAAGGCGGACGGGUGAGUAACGCGUAAGGAACUUGCCCUGCAGACAGGGAUAACAGACGGAAACGACUGAUAACACCUGGUGUUGUCAGGCUGGCGCAUGCCGGACUGAUGAAAGGAGACGCUGCAGGAGAGCCUUGCGUCCUAUUAGCUAGUUGGUGGGGUAACGGCCCACCAAGGCGAUGAUAGGUAGCCGGCCUGAGAGGGUGAACGGCCACAAGGGGACUGAGAUACGGCCCUUACUCCUACGGGAGGCAGCAGUGGGGAAUAUUGGACAAUGGGGGCAACCCUGAUCCAGCAAUUCUGUGUGCACGAAGAAGGUUUUCGGAUUGUAAAGUGCUUUCAGCAGGGAAGAA
rnacentral:rRNA from 1 species